AAGAAAGGUGAUUGUUAUUUUCAUCUGUUACAUGGAGAUAAUUGUAGCUCUUAUACAUAAUUCAUGUAAAGCACUUGUGUAAAGACGAGUGCCUAGCAUAAAGUGAGUGCUCCAUUCCUGUUAGCUUCCAUCAUCAUCAUCAUAUCACCCUUGUCCCUGGCUGUAGAUUUGACAUAAAUUCCAUGGACACAAUAUGUAAAUCAUAUGGACAUCGUCUGAGAAGAGUCUGUCUCCUCUGGUAGCUCUUUAGGAUAAACUGAAAACUUCUGAGCCUGCUUGCCUCUGGCUCCUUCGUUUUAAAUCCUGGAAUUUCCAAGGUUACGACAAAGACUUCCACGUGAGAUACAGGCAAAGAACCGUUCCCUCCUCUCACCAGAACUGAAACUCUGAGGCUAUGAGUCUGGAGCUUCUGGCAGCCAAUGUGCUUCCAUGAGGAGAAAGCCAGCCUGAGAAACAAACCUGGAAAGCAGAGUCAAGAGAGGAGAGAAAGUGAGUCCUGAUGCCGUCAUCUGAGGCAGUGUUUUCAGCCACACCCGCAGUCAGCUUUCCCCUGGACGACUUCUGUUUCAAGAGCUGAUACAUUUGACUUUUUUACUUGAGCCAGUUUGAGCUAAUUUCUUUCCUUAUAAAUGAAGGAGUUCUGAGUGAUACAAGAUGAUUGCUAGAGAAAGGAGAGGGAACCUACAAACCUCUAGUCACAGGAACCUUUGCCGAGAAACAGACUAGUGGACACCAGGCAUGGUCAGUGGAGACAGACCAACUGGAACCCAGGAUUAAAGUCAGUCCUGAAGAAUUGCCAGAAUGUAUUGAUUCAAAGUAAGGCUUAUUAUUUUUAAGCAUCUGUGAUCAAUUAUUUAAAGUAUUUGGGAAGGCUGCAAAGUGUUCUCAGGAUAAGAAAACAAACUUUGUAGUUGAAGCUUAAGAAAGUG
rnacentral:lncRNA from 1 species